GGCGACGAGUGCGCAGAGGACCAGGUUCGAACCUGCAAUAAACGACCCUUGCCGCUUGGCUUUGACUUACGACUCUGGUGGACUUUUGUGGGAGGUUUCGGAACUUCGGGCAUUACAUUUGGAGGUCCCACCGAGAUCUCCUCCGAGCCCACCAGACUUCUGGUCAACGGGUCGUAUCUGAUUCCGAUCGGGAACUCCAGCACAUCCACCAGGAAGUUUGGUCCAGAUUGAGAGCCAUUUAUGAGAACGGGCCCCCUCCUGAGCCGCAUCACUACCGACCCGGAGACUGGGUAUACGUGCGGAGACAUAAGCGAA